AAAUCUACAAUGUAUUACCCUCCGACAAGACAGAGCAAUCAUGGUAGAAUAUAAUCGAGAGUCUACAUAUAGCUGCUAGGGUUGGUAAUUUAGAGCUUAUGUCAACACUUAUCACCAAAGACUCAAGGACACCUCUUCACAUAGCAGCUAACCGAGGAAAAUUGGAGAUUUGUGACUAUCUGCUACAAAAUAGGAGCAUUGAUUGAUGUAUCAGAUAAAAAGGGUCAAACCCCUCUUAUGCAUGAUGUGAAGUCUUACAAAACAAAAGUGAUUUCCCUUGUAUCAAAUGAUGAGAAACCUUAGCGUAUAAAUGCUUUUUGUGAGUGGAAUCUUCAGGUAGUGAAAAUGCUAGUAAGUGCAGAUGAUUCUAUGAUCAACAUCAUGGAUGAAGCAGGCUGGACUGUUCUUCACUUUGCUGCAAGCAAUGGGUGCUUGGAAAUCACUAAGAUCUUCAAGACAUGGCACAACAUUAGAGAUCACUGACAAGGCUGGAUACUCUCCAUUCACAUUAAAGCAAGGAUAGGAAAGAUGGAAGUUUAUG